rnacentral:RNase_P_RNA from 1 species
AGAGUCAAUCGGGUGAUCGCGGAAUUAUUAACUUCCGAGGAAAGUCUGAGCUCCAUAGAGCAAGGUGCUGGGUAACACCCAGUGGAGGUGACUCCAAGGAAAGUGCCACAGAAAGUAUACCGCCCUAUUAACUCUAAUAAUUUAAUAGAUAGCAUUAUUUAAAGAUUACUAAUGCUAAUCAAGCUUGAGAAGCUUAAUUAAAAAUUAUGAGUUAACAGGGUAAGGGUGAAAAGGCGAGUUAAAAGCUCACCAGCAAUCAGGUGACUGAUUGGCUUGGAAAACCCCACCUGGAGCAAGGCCAAAUAGGAGAGUGUUAAAGGGUUGCUCGCUCUGCUCUCGGGUAGGCUGCUUGAGAUGAUAGGUAACUAUCAUCCUAGAUGGAUGAUCACCAAUUAGUUAAUUUUAUUUUUAAAAUUAAGUAAGAACAGAACUCGGCUUAUAGAUUGACUCUUUAA